AGUUAAUUUAACAGAUGGUCUUGAAGGGCUGGCUGGGCGGACUGUUGCCUUGGCAUUUGUUGGAAUGUCAAUUGCAGUGCUUCCAAUAUGUCCUGUGUUGGACACAAGAGAGAGGUCAUUCUUGAAAAACAAUUGGUACAGAUUACAGGAAAAGAAAGAGCUGAUCUUAAGGUGAAGAGAGCAGUGAUAAUUAUAGCUAUUCUGAUUGGAUUAACUUGUGGGAUGAUUUUAAUUGGCUUUUACAUUUGCAAGUGGAGAGCAUUUUAUGAUUAUUAGCCAAGUUGGAAAAAAAAAACAGGGUAGAUUGAAUAUUGAGGAAGAUGAUGAUGGGCAACCAAGGAAGAAGGUUCAUCUAGGUGUUCCAGCGACACAAUGGAUUUCAGUUUACAAUGCUCGCCAGCCAAUGAAACAGAGGUGCAUUUUUUGAAUGUUAUGUUUUUUUUUUUACCCUUGAAGUAGUAUCAUUUGUCAUUUCUGAUGAUAUUACUAGUAGUAUUCUACCUAUAUUUCUUUCUGUUAAUUUUUAAAUGCUUGGAUUGGAACCAUAUACAACUUUCUUAAUCUCUCUAUUUUUCUUUGUUGUCAACCAUAAGCAAGAA